rnacentral:rRNA from 1 species
CACGUAGUUAGCCGGUGCUUCUUAUCUAGGUACCGUCACAAAAAAGCUUCGUCCCUAGCGAAAGGAGUUUACAACCCGAAGGCCUUCAUCCCCCACGCGGCGUCGCUGCAUCAGGCUUGCGCCCAUUGUGCAAUACUCCCCACUGCUGCCUCCCGUAGGAGUCUGGGCCGUAUCUCAGUCCCAAUGUGGCCGUACACCCUCUCAGGCCGGCUACCCGUCGCCGCCUUGGUAGGCCAUUACCCCACCAACAAGCUGAUAGGCCGCGAGCUCAUCCUACACCGAAAAAACUUUCCAACCACCGCACUAAAGAUGGCUCCUAUCCGGUAUUAGACCCAGUUUCCCAAGCUUAUCCCGAAGUGCAGGGCAGAUCACCCACGUGUUACUCACCCGUUCGCCACUCCGAGUACCCUGCAAGCAGGGCCUUUCCGUUCGACUUUGCAUGUGUUAAGCACGCCGCCAGCCGUUGUCCCUGGACGCCGUACGGAAGUCCAAAACUCUA